GACCUGAGCCGAAGUCAGAUGCUCAACCUACUGAGUCACCCAGAAAUUGCCUUGCAUGGGGAAUAUCCGUAACUGGCCAAAAUGUAGCCCACACAGAAGCUGGCUUCAACUUCUUGGUGUGAUCAGCUCUCAACAAGACACAGAUACCAGUGAACGCCAACCGGCCACUGGGAAGGGAAGAAAGGGGCCUUAAAAACAAAGAACUUCAUGUAAAACACAAGCAGCACAAAGUGCCAAGAUCAAUAUUUCUGUGUUGAUUAGAACAAACUUUACAAGUAGGAAUAAAGGUAAGGACAAUCUGCUUCGCUUCAAAUUCUCAAUUUUACCAGAAGACUCAAAAUUUCCUUAAAAAAUAUGACUGGAGGCCAAAAGGAACAGAUAACCAAUGGUUGGCUUCCUUCUAAUCAUUCUUCUAUGUGAUGUAUUACUUUUAUUAAUAUAGAAACAUACGGCCUAAGCUGAGGUGAAAGGCUGUUCUGAGUAGGGUAGUACAGUCAUCGCAGCAAGGAAUUUCGCUACCUUUUCAAUUUUGAACUGACUGCUCCUUUUCUGUUUAUGCAACUUUUUGAGGAUCAGAGAAGUAAUUGAUGAAUACAUGCUUGUAAAGAAAUUCAUUUAGGACUUCUGUUUGAAAGUUCCCCUAUGACAGUAAACUCAAAACUGGCUUUAGAAGGCUGAACUACUUCUAUCAGGAUCUUCAUUAAGAAAGUGAGUAACAUAUGAAAGGAGAAAGAGAAGAGGCUUCGAGGAAUGUUACAGCUGCCGAUCAGCACAAAUUUCCCAUGUGCCGAGCUGUGCGGGCCACGCCGGACAGCAGGAAACAGGCAUGGCCCCCACCUCUCAAGAUAUAAAAAAUUUUGGUUAAGUUUUGAGGGGAAAAAAGAACUAUUCAAAAUAAUGUUUAGGCGGGACAAAAACAACUUCUAGAAAUGAAAAAUGGACAAACUCAAUACUUAAAGUGAAUAGGAACAAAGCAUGUCAUACACAGAGUAUGUAUGUGUAUCCACAAAUAUUUUUGUUUAUGAGCCACUUAAGAAAAUCUAGUAUUUUGCUUGUCAGUUUUGACUCUAAGAAACUACCUCUUAAAUGUGGGUUUGGGAUAUUUACCUGCUUUGUACCUAAAAUGGAAAUACAAUGACACACUAAAACUUCAGUUUCAUCA